UAGUAACGGCGAGUGAAGCGGCAACAGCUCAAAUUUGAAAUCUGGCGUCUUUGGCGUCCGAGUUGUAAUUUGCAGAGGGCGCUUUGGCAUUGGCAGCGGUCCAAGUUCCUUGGAACAGGACGUCACAGAGGGUGAGAAUCCCGUACGUGGUCGCUAGCCUUUACCGUGUAAAGCCCCUUCGACGAGUCGAGUUGUUUGGGAAUGCAGCUCUAAAUGGGAGGUAAAUUUCUUCUAAAGCUAAAUACUGGCCAGAGACCGAUAGCGCACAAGUAGAGUGAUCGAAAGAUGAAAAGCACUUUGGAAAGAGAGUUAAAAAGCACGUGAAAUUGUUGAAAGGGAAGCGCUUGCAGCCAGACUUGCCUGUAGUUGCUCAUCCGGGUUUUUACCCGGUGCACUCUUCUAUAGGCAGGCCAGCAUCAGUUUGGGCGGUUGGAUAAAGGUCUCUGUCAUGUACCUCUCUUCGGGGAGAACUUAUAGGGGAGACGACAUGCAACCAGCCUGGACUGAGGUCCGCGCAUCUGCUAGGAUGCUGGCGUAAUGGCUGUAAGCGGCCCGUCUUGAAACACGGACCAAGGAGUCUAACAUCUAUGCGAGUGUUUGGGUGUCAAGCCCGAGCGCGUAAUGAAAGUGAACGGAGGUGGGAACCUUUCGGGGUGCACCAUCGACCGAUCCUGAUGUCUUCGGAUGGAUUUGAGUAAGAGCAUAGCUGUUGGGACCCGAAAGAUGGUGAACUAUGCUUGAAUAGGGUGAAGCCAGAGGAAACUCUGGUGGAGGCUCGCAGCGGUUCUGACGUGCAAAUCGAUCGUCAAAUUUGGGCAUAGGGGCGAAAGACUAAUCGAACUAUCUAGUAGCUGGUUCCUGCCGAAGUUUCCCUCAGGAUAGCAGUAACGUUUUCAGUUUUAUGAGGUAAAGCGAAUGAUUAGAGGCCUGGGGGUUGAAACAACCUU
rnacentral:rRNA from 1 species